CCCGCUAGGAAAGACAUCACUCGCAGAAGAAGCACCGGCUAACUCCGUGCCAGCAGCCGCGGUAAUACGGAGGGUGCAAGCGUUAAUCGGAAUUACUGGGCGUAAAGCGCGCGUAGGUGGCUUGAUAAGCCGGUUGUGAAAGCCCCGGGCUCAACCUGGGAACGGCAUCCGGAACUGUCAAGCUAGAGUGCAGGAGAGGAAGGUAGAAUUCCCGGUGUAGCGGUGAAAUGCGUAGAGAUCGGGAGGAAUACCAGUGGCGAAGGCGGCCUUCUGGACUGACACUGACACUGAGGUGCGAAAGCGUGGGUAGCAAACAGGAUUAGAUACCCUGGUAGUCCACGCCGUAAACGAUGUCGACCAGCCGUUGGGUGCCUAGCGCACUUUGUGGCGAAGUUAACGCGAUAAGUCGACCGCCUGGGGAGUACGGCCGCAAGGUUAAAACUCAAAUGAAUUGACGGGGGCCCGCACAAGCGGUGGAGCAUGUGGUUUAAUUCGAUGCAACGCGAAGAACCUUACCUACUCUUGACAUCCUGCGAAUUUGGUAGAGAUACCUUAGUGCCUUCGGGAACGCAGAGACAGGUGCUGCAUGGCUGUCGUCAGCUCGUGUUGUGAAAUGUUGGGUUAAGUCCCGUAACGAGCGCAACCCUUGUCCUUAUUUGCCAGCGCGUAAUGGCGGGAACUCUAAGGAGACUGCCGGUGACAAACCGGAGGAAGGUGGGGACGACGUCAAGUCAUCAUGGCCCUUACGAGUAGGGCUACACACGUGCUACAAUGGUCGGUACAAAGGGUUGCCAACUCGCGAGAGUGAGCCAAUCCCGAAAAGCCGAUCUCAGUCCGGAUCGGAGUCUGCAACUCGACUCCGUGAAGUCGGAAUCGCUAGUAAUCGUGGAUCAGAAUGCCACGGUGAAUACGUUCCCGGGCCUUGUACACACCGCCCGUCACACCAUGGGAGUGGACUGCACCAGAAGUGG
rnacentral:rRNA from 1 species